GGGCGAUUAGCUCAAUUGGUUAGAGCACCUCGUUUACACCGAGGGGGUUAUAGGUUCGAGUCCUACAUCGCCCA
rnacentral:tRNA from 1 species